rnacentral:lncRNA from 1 species
CUGCAAAGAACUGAAUCAUGCCAGCAGCCCGUGAGCGGGUCUGGAAGGGGAUCCUCCCCUACUGGAGCGGUGAGGCCACUGCAGACAAUGAUUGCAGCUUGUGAGCAACCUUGAGCCACACCCAGAUUACUGACUCAGAAACCCAAGAUAAAAUGUGAAGUUUGGGGCUGGCCCAGUGGCUUAGUGGUUAGUUCUUGUGUUCCGCUUUGGCGGCCCAGGGUCCGCAGGUUUGGGUCCUAAGCGUGGACCUAUACACUGCUCAUCAAGCCUUGCUGUGGCAGGCAUCCCACAUAAAAAAUGGAGGAAGAUUGGCACAGAUGUUAGCUCAAGGACAAUCUUCCUCACCAAAAACAAACAAAACGUGAAGUUUUAAGCUGCUAACUUUUGGGGUUAUUUGUUAUGCAGCCUUAGAUAACAAAGCUAGAAAAGGACAAUGGCUUAUCCCAACUCCACUCCUGGGGUAAAAGUACUUGAUAGAGCUCUAACAUGAUGUUUUCUGUUUGCAGAAAAACUGUCAAAGCAGUGAGCAUAUCAUGCUGAAUCUGGCAGCACAGAGUUAGGAGAGCCGGUCUUCCUCCUGUGUUCACAUAAACCCGCACAACGAGAGCAUUGAUUUGUUGGACUGCACUCAGCGAGUUCACACACGCGGCCGCAUUUAGGCAGCAUGCCAGAUGUGUAAAAUCAGAAUUUAAUGAUGGCAUUUCAGCAGCAGCCCCGGAAUUUAGCACAGUAUCACCGUUGAAUACUAAUGUGCCCCUAGCAAGAAAACAAGAGGACAGAAACAGCUUUUUUUUUUUUUUUUUGCACCUUUCUUGGAGAUGGAGAAAUGGAAAGCAAUUAACUGUUUCAUGGAAACUUCAUCUCAUAAAGAAACUCCAGUCAAAAGCAAACCCAUGGUAGUUGUUCUUAUGUUCAUACCACUUUAUCAAUCAAGCAAAGGUAAAUUACUUUUUAACACUUUAAAAUAUUAAUUACACCGCCUAUUUAGGAAGUUCAUGUUUUUCCUGAAGACUUUAUUAAGCAUUUUUACUUUCUGAAAAUAAAUAUGUACAUGAGAAGUACUGUGAAUGAAGUCACCAUGUGAUAAAAUCAUUUCUGCUUCUCAUGACUUCAAAAUGAAGUUCCAUUUCCCUUUAAAUAGAAGGGAGAAGGAGAAAAUCUAAUUUUUGAAAAAACAAAUCUUCUUAUCCUAAAGAAUGGAAUGUCUCAAACUCGGCACUGUUAACACUUUGGGCCACAUAAUUCUUUAUUAUGGGGGCUGUUGUGUGUGUUGUGGGGCGUACAGCAGCAGCCCUGGCCUCUACUCGCCAGAUACCAGCAGCGCUGCCCUGAUUUGUGACAACCUAAUAUGUCUCCAGAUGUAGCCAAACGUCCCCUGGGGGGAGAGAGUCAAAAUCAACCCCUUUUGGAAGCCACUGCUAUAGAGAGAUGAAAGAGAUUUAAAAAAAAAUAACCAAAAGCCGUUGAAUUCUAUUUUAAAGAAAUAUUUCAGACUUGUGAAGAGGUAUAAAGAAUAAUGAGCACCCGCAUACCCAGAACCCUGCUUAAUAUCUCCCCGUUUCAUCCCUCAGAGGUCCUGAAUUUGGCUCAGCACCCCCGUGUGUGUGUAGGUCAGAGGUCCUGAAUUUGGCUCAGCACCCCAGUGUGUGUGUUGGUCAGAGGUCCUGAAUUUGGCUCAGCACCCCCGUGUGUGUGUUGGUCAGAGGUCGUGUACUCUAUUUCUCACUUUUGUGACUGACUUUCAUAUUUCUCAUGUAUGCGUCAAGUUGAAAAUUAAUAGUUCUACUCUCCUUCUGAACAAAACAAGAAUCAUAUAAUGCCUUAUCUCCAGUCACCCCUCUUCCAUCUUGUAUAUUAUUUUAGUUCUAACUUGUUUUUUAUGUCUCCCCCAAAUGGUCAAUAUUUUUGUUUUUAUAGUGAAUAUUUAGACUUCUCUCUAUGCUUAUCGGUUCUUUUGUUCUUUUGCUCUCACACCCCAGACCUUACAUCUGGGAUCCACUUUCCUUCUGCCUUCCUUUGGAAGUUAUUUAUUGACACCCUGCAUAGUGAUCUGUCCAAUUUUUGGUUUUCUGAAAAAUCUCUGUAUUUCCUCCUCAUUAUUAUAUGAUAGUUUAUGUGGGUAUAAAAAUCUACAUUGACUGUUAUUCUCUUUCAGUGUUUAUUUCAUGAAGAUCUGGCUUCUUUUAUAAAUCUAAAUUCCUUUACCUAUAAUCAGUCUUUUCCUCUUAACUGAUUUUACAAUAUUCUCUACUAUUUUGCC